GUGCUGAGUGAGGCUGAGCCCCUGACCUUGAACCUGGGAUCCUACCCAUGAUCCAUCAGGGUACUACUGUCAGGGGUAGAUUCCUUGUCAU
rnacentral:pre_miRNA from 1 species